rnacentral:lncRNA from 1 species
GAUAGCUCUGUGCUGAACAGCAUUAAUACAAGAAAAAUCUCUGGUGCCCCAAAUGGCUGCACCAUAACUUAUGACUGACCAGACUAAGCUAUCAAAAAGUUUUGUAUAUGUAUUAAAGUGGAAACCUCCAUGUGCUUUACUCUUUACAAUCAGUAAACUUAAUGCUCUCCCUGCUGACCUGGCUACAGAUUUUGCCAUUUCAUUAUAAUCAAGAAGUUCAGUCAACAAUAGACCAAGAUAUUGAUAUUUUGAUACAAUACACAAUUGUUUUUCACCAAGUAAAAAUAUUACAUUUGUUGGUUG